UGGGAAAAGAAAGUAAGUGAAUAGGAUUAGCAAAAUCUGUGCCAGCACAGCUGGUGCUUUAUCAUGGUGUUCUGCCUAUAUAUAUGGAAUUCUCAAAUGACGCUGAAGAAACCUUCUCUAGAGCACUCAAGCUCUUACUGGUUAGUGAGGUUUAACUUCUAUAUUCUUAUUUCUCUUGCAUCAUCGUCUUACAUAGUUAUUUGUUUCGGACUUCAGGAUUGGGGUCAUCUGAAAGAGGGAGAGGAUGUCACACUUGUCCAAAGUGGUGCGCAACCAAUAUGGCGUUAAGAAUCUACUCAUCAGAUUCAAGUGCGCAGGGUCUAAAGUUGAUUUUGUGCUGGAAAGGAUUUUUAUUUUUUAGUGGCUGAUAGUAAACAAAAUGUUAAUUCAAGUUGUGAAUUAGUGUUCCUGUACAAACUGGGCAAACACCACCCCUUUUGCAGUAUUUUGGUACUCUCUUGAUCAAAGGAGAGCUUAAUGCUUUCGAGUCAUUGGAACUAUCACGUCUUGUUGUGAACCAGAACAAGAAUAAUUUGUUGGAAAAUUGGCUAGCAGAAGACAAAUUAGAAUGCAGCGAGGAGCUAGGAGAUCUUGUGAAGGAGAAAAAUGUCUCUUUCCCCAUCAAUUGGAGGAGAAAAGGAUUCUUAAUUUUGAAGGCUUUGUGUUGGGCAGUUGUAGAAUAUUUUGUGCUGAAAGUAGUAAUUUUUCAAUAUGUUGAAUAUUUAAGACUACUUGAAUA